AAUAUUAGUGCAAGAAUCAAGAUCUUUCUUGUUUUGGAGCCUAGGUUGAAAAAGUGGACCUAGGACUUGGGCUAUGAUCGGUGUGGGAGAAACAUUCAAACAUGACGCGAUAAGAAGGUGCCUCAAAAAUUUUACGAAUAAGAAGGUGCCUAGUUAAGGGUGCCAAAGUUUCGUUGAAGAGGAGGCCCAAGUUCGUGGUCUUUGGUUUGACGGGAGAUUGUUGGGUACAAACCAAAAGUCCCACAUCGGAAGUUUAGAAAAAGAGUUUCUAAGAUAUAAGUCAAGUCCAACUCCAACUAGUAUGAGGUCUUUUGGGAAGGAACCCAAUAACAAAUCCUUGCAGGCUUGAACAUGUAAGUCUAAAGAGGACAAUAUCAUACUAAAUGGGAGUUGAAAUGAGCUUAGAAAGCCCAUUAUAGUUAAUAGAAAUUUCAUACUUUUCUCUAUCGUCCCAAGGACUUGGAUCUUCUUGAAGAAUCUUUUCAUUUUCUUUUUAUUUCGAGGAUUUUUAUAUUUUGAGCCAAUAGGCCUCCCACACUUUAACUGAACCUUAUGUUCAUUAAUUUUGCUCUCAUCUAACUCCAGCUCUCUAAGAAUUUCAACUCUUGAUGGGGCAUUUGCAGCGGGGAUAUAUGACUUUGUCACCUUUUUGUAUCGGCGAAUGAAUCUGGUAAUUGAUUUUCCAUAUUUUUU
rnacentral:sRNA from 1 species